GAUGAACGCUGGCGGCGUGCUUAACACAUGCAAGUCGAACGAGAAGUGGAGACGGAAACCUUCGGGCGGAAGACUUUAUUUCGAGUGGCGGACGGGUGAGUAACGCGUGGGUAACCUGCCUCAUACAGGGGGAUAACAGUUGGAAACGACUGUUAAUACCGCAUAAGACCACAGCACCGCAUGGUGCGAGGGUAAAAACUCCGGUGGUAUGAGAUGGACCCGCGUUCGAUUAGCCAGUUGGCGGGGUAACGGCCCACCAAAGCGACGAUCGAUAGCCGAUCUGAGAGGAUGACCGGCCACAUUGGGACUGAGACACGGCCCAAACUCCUACGGGAGGCAGCAGUGGGGAAUAUUGCACAAUGGGGGAAACCCUGAUGCAGCGACGCCGCGUGAGUGAAGAAGUAUUUCGGUAUGUAAAGCUCUAUCAGCAGGGAAGAAAAUGACGGUACCUGAGUAAGAAGCCCCGGCUAACUACGUG
rnacentral:rRNA from 1 species